UACGUAGGGUGCAAGCGUUGUCCGGAAUUAUUGGGCGUAAAGAGCUCGUAGGCGGUUUGUCGCGUCUGCUGUGAAAACUCGGGGCUUAACCCCGGGCCUGCAGUGGGUACGGGCAGACUAGAGUGCGGGAGAGGAGAGUGGAAUUCCUGGUGUAGCGGUGGAAUGCGCAGAUAUCAGGAAGAACACCCGUGGCGAAGGCGGCUCUCUGGAACGCAACUGACGCUGAGACGCGAAAGCGUGGGGAGCAAACAGG
rnacentral:rRNA from 1 species